UGCAUGUGUAAGUAUAACUUCUUGUACAAGAAAACUGCGAAUGGCUCAUUAAAACAGUUAUAAUUUAUUUGAUGGUCUUUUUUUACAUGGAUAACCAUGGAAAUGCUAUGGCUAAUACAUGCGCAAAUAGACCUCUUUAUUUGAGGCCUUGUGUUUAUUAGAUACAAAACCUACCCAUUUUUCGGAAUGGAGAUCUGGUGAUUCAUAGUAACCAAACGGAUCGCACUUUUAUGGCUUCGGCCGGCGAUGGAUCAUACAAGUUUCUGACCUAUCAGCUUACGACGGUAUGGUAUUGGCUUACCGUGGCAGCGACGGGUAACGGGGAAUUAGGGUUCGAUUCCGGAGAGGGAGCCUGAGAAACGGCUACCACAUCUAAGGAAGGCAGCAGGCGCGCAAAUUACCCAAUGAAAACAGUUUCGAGGUAGUGACGAGAAAUAACAAUACGGAACAUUAAAUGUUUUGUAAUUGGAAUGGUGGGAAUCUAAACCCCUUUCAGAGUAACAAUUGGAGGGAAAGUCUGGUGCCAGCAGCCGCGGUAAUUCCAGCUCCAAUAGCGUAUAUUUGAGUUGUUGCAGUUAAAAAGCUCGUAGUUGGAUUUCUGUGUUGGUUUUCGUGUUCGCCCCGCUUAAUUGCGGGUGCUACUUACGUAAAGCCAAGACAUUUUCCCGGCGUGUGUAGAAUUUAUGUGGUGGCUUUGCCACUGUUUUUUUUUAUACUGUACGUCGGGGCUUUUACUUUGAGAAAAAUAGAGUGUUUGAAGCAGGCCUGCCGCCUUGAAUACUGCAGCAUGGAAUAAUAAUUUAGGACUUUGGUUCUAUUUUGUGGGUUCUAGGACUAGAGUAAUGAUUAAUAGGGACAGUUGGGGGCAUUCGUAUUUUACGGUCAGAGGUGAAAUUCUUAGAUUCGUAAAAGACGUACUACUGCGAAAGCAUUUGCCAAGGAUGUUUUCAUUAAUCAAGAACGACAGUAGGGGGUUUGAAGACGAUUAGAUACCGUCGUAAUCUCUACCAUAAACUAUGCCGACUAGAGAUAGGAAAACGUCUCUCCGACUUCUCCUGCAUCUCAAGAGAAAUCAAAGUCUCUGGGUUCUGGGGGGAGUAUGGUCGCAAGGCCGGAACUUAAAGGAAUUGACGGAAGGGCACCACCAGGCGUGGAGCCUGCGGCUUAAUUUGACUCAACACGGGGAAUCUCACCAGGACCAGACAUAAGGAGGAUUGACAGAUUGAUAGCUCUUUCUUGAUUUUAUGGGUGGUGGUGCAUGGCCGUUCUUAGUUGGUGGAGUGAUUUGUCUGGUUAAUUUCGUUAACGAACGAGACCUUAGCCUGCUAAAUAGGGUCGACAACUCUUUUACUGGGUUGUCGUAUCACUUCUUAGAGGGACUUUGCGUGUAGAGCGCAAGGAAGUUUGAGGCAAUAACAGGUCUGUGAUGCCCUUAGAUGUUCUGGGCUGCACGCGCGCUACACUGACACAUCCAACGAGUAUAUAACCUUGGCCGACAGGUCUGGGUAAUCUUAUGAGUGUGUGUCGUGAUUGGGAUAGACUAUUGCAAUUAUUAGUCUUCAACGAGGAAUGCCUAGUAGGCGUAGGUCAGCAGCCUGCGCCGAUUACGUCCCUGCCCUUUGUACACACCGCCCGUCGCUACAACCGAUCGGAGGGUUCUGUGAAUGCAUCGGACAAUUCCUAAUGCCUUUUUAGGUUUUUGAGAAUUGGAAGAUGUGUAAAUUGAGCUUUCUAGAGGAUGUACAAGUC
rnacentral:rRNA from 1 species